rnacentral:rRNA from 1 species
UACGUAGGGGGCGAGCGUUGUCCGGAAUUACUGGGCGUAAAGGGUGAGUAGGCGGUCUGUUAAGUUGGAUGUGAAAUACCCGGGCUUAACUUGGGGGGUGCAUUCAAAACUGGCGGACUAGAGUAUCGGAGAGGAAAGCGGAAUUCCUGGUGUAGCGGUGAAAUGCGUAGAUAUCAGGAGGAGCACCGGUGGCGAAGGCGGCUUUCUGGACGACAACUGACGCUGGGGCACGAAAGCGUGGGGAGCAAAC